CCUGUUGCACAAAAGUAGAAUUAAGACAUCCGGGAUAAAUGACUCAGCUGAGCUCAAUGAAGCCAAAACAUGUGCGUCCAGGCUUAAUUGGUUGCACAAAGACCAAGCCAGGAUGAGCAGACACGGAUUCAUUAAACCAGGUGAAACCAAUCCUGGAUAGGUGCGCGCUCACGGCUCACUCAAAUAGACCCCGCCACAGAUCACAGAUUAACUGAUUUACCAUGGCAACUAGAGCCGCGUACUUUUCCCCGUCGGAAGCACAAAUCCUCAUGGAGGCAUACGAGGAGGUAAAAGAUAUAAUUAAGAAGAAAGGCAACACCGCCACAGUGAUAAAGCAAAGAGAAAAAGCGUGGCAAAGUAUUGCAGACCGCCUGAAUGCGUAAGUAGUGCACAAUUACACAGUCACCGCUCCGCUGAAACAUCACAAUUACAAUUCAAAUAUUUAAUUCACAUCUCCAAAAAUGCAGUUGUACUGUAAUUAUGAAACGGUUAAAUUUAAUUGAAAUGCACUGCAGAUAUGAGUGAAAUUGUGUAAAGUAACUCCAUCACACUGUAUAAAGCUAUGAUACAUUUUUUGAUAUUUUUACUGAAAACAAGACAAAAAUACCAAGUAAUUUUUUGCAGUGUGACUCCAUUAAAUGUGUGUGUGUGUGUGUGUAGAUUAAACAUGAACGGGCCAAAACGGACAUGGCAGCAGGUCAAAAUCAAAUACAAGAACAUUCUGCAGAAUGCAGUGAAAAAGAAUACCCACAGACAAGGCACGGGUGGUGGGUCACCAAAGGCUGACCUUACCCCAGCAGAGGACAUGGCCUUGGAGCUAAAUAAAGGCAGGCCCGUCUUAGAGGGGAUCCCUGGGGGAAAGAGACGAGCAUAGGUUCCUCCCAAGAUGCCACCCGCUUCAUUCAAGUGUCUGGCAGCACUGUGUUCCUGUUAGAGCCACCAGCACAAGCACCAGACGAUGCUGAUCCAGUGAGUACUCCAUCAAAGGCAUACUGUAGGCCUGGCAUGUCUUGUCUACUAGCUUCAAUAUGAAUCCGAUUAAAUGUGAUAGGGUGAAGGCCCCAGUGCAGCAGCAACAGCACAUGAUGGAGACGAUGAUGAGGAGGAGACCAUCUCUCUGGAUUCCAGAAGGCAUGAGGUAUCAUGUUAAGACUGUGAAAGUACUAUUUACUCUACAAUGGUGAGGAGUCCUCAUCAAAAUCAAAAAAUCGAAUUUCUUUUACAGGACCCAGAUGCUAUACAGUGGGAAAACCAGCCUGGCAACAUAGUGCGUAUUAAUAAAAGGACACCACAUCCUGCCAAAUUCCAGCUGCGCUAAUUGUAUUGUGUUCACAGAGCUCACAAGCUAUCAGAAAGUUGUAUGGCAACCACCUCCGGCGCCAAAUAGAACUGGCAGACAUAGACAUUCAGUACAAGAAGAAAAAGAUGGAGAAUCUUGCACUGGAGUCCGAAAUAAAAAAGAGGACAAUUAGGAAACUGGACCUUGAAAUAAAAAAACUUGAG